rnacentral:rRNA from 1 species
GACGAACCGUGCGAACGUUGUUCGGAAUCACUGGGCUUAAAGGGCGCGUAGGCGGGCUGCCAAGUCUGGGGUGAAAUCCCACGGCUCAACCGUGGAACUGCCUCGGAUACUGGGGGCCUCGAGGGUGGUAGGGGUAUGCGGAACUAUCGGUGGAGCGGUGAAAUGCGUUGAUAUCGAUAGGAACUCCGGUGGCGAAGGCGGCAUACUGGACCACAUCUGACGCUGAGGCGCGAAAGCCAGGGGAGCAAACGGG